UACGUAGGGUGCGAGCGUUGUCCGGAAUUAUUGGGCGUAAAGAGCUCGUAGGCGGUGUGUCGCGUCGGCCGUGAAAACCUGGGGCUCAACUCUGGGCGUGCGGUCGAUACGGGCAUCACUUGAGUUCGGCAGGGGAGACUGGAAUUCCUGGUGUAGCGGUGGAAUGCGCAGAUAUCCGGAGGAACACCGGUGGCGAAGGCGGGUCUCUGGGCCGU
rnacentral:rRNA from 1 species